GUUAGAAGGAUGCAAACCCAGUGUGACAUACUCACAGGUCACUAUGGGACCCUUGCCUUAUGGGAUGGAGAAAUGGGCCAUGACCGACCAUGGGGACUUCCAGUGCUGACUCCAUGAGACUCGUGUGAGCAGCGAGUCACCUCCAGCCUCACCUGGUAGACGGAGGUGGGAGAGACAGGGAAACAGACAGAAGGAGGCCUGGCCCAGAUCCUUGCACCCAAGCUGAGGUCUCUUUGACGUUAUUUUCAACAAAGGAAAUGUAUGCAUUUUCCAAAGUCAUGAAUUGAGGCACAUUUCUCUGGCUCUUGACAAUGGCUCUGUCACUGGAAUGGCUAGUGGUGGGGCCUCCACUGAGAUGCGGGUGCUGUCUCAGCCCAACCGCUGUGCACUCCUUGAGUCAGCACGGGUUCCCGGCCAUUUGGUUAUUUUUGAUCGCCAUGGCAAAAUAAAUAAUGAAUCAUCAGCAGGCUACGCACACCUUUCAAAAGAGUUUGUGGUUUUUGUCAAGGGUGUGUUGCUCAACAGUGCAGUGGUUCUGCUUGCCACCAGCCUGUGCCAGGCCCUCUGCCUCCAGCCGGAUGGGAGCUGCACGGGCGUAGGAAAGCUGUCUGAAAAGUCCUACUGGAGAGUGCAUAAAAUCAGCUCUGGGAUAUGCAUGUUUGAAAGUGUGAAGAAUGCACGGAUGUUUCUGAGGAUUAAGGACGGACGGUGUGACGGAGCUGGUAUAGGAGACAGUGACUGUCAUUUUAAAAUUAAGAAGAACUUGGAAAAUGCAUGUAUAAGCCUGGAAUCGGUGAAGAGCCCAGGAUUGUUUGUUGGACUUCAGUCAGAUGGACAGGCAAAACCAGUUGUUUAUACUGAGAACGGGAGUGUUUUCUUCUAUCCACAAGUCAUCAAAUUUGGCAGAGAAAACCCAAGUGGUAUGUCUGUAACACCCAGCCAAGAAGAGGAGAAGAUCCUGGAGUCAAGAAACCAGCAAGAAAUGCCAUCAGAACCAGAGGCCAGAGGAGCCUCUUCUUCAACUGCACUGUUCACUCCAGAACAAUACUUGAAAGGAAAGUGGUAUUAAAUGAUGACAUGAUAUUGAACUAUUACUUACAAAAUAUUUUAUGAAUUUUUUUAAUGAAUAACAGCAAAUUCUCACCAAAGACUCAGCAACAACAAAAAUAACUUCCCCCAUUUUCCUGAUACAGAAAUUAAGGCACGAAUAAAGUACUCUAGGCCUCAGAAGUUUGGAGUUUUAGUUUUCAUCUCUCAGUAUGUUUAAUUAUUUUCCUCGUUCUUAAAUGUAUUAUGUUCUAUGUGACUGACAAGCAAGAUGAAUGAUAUCUGAUAAAUUCUGUGCAUCAGAAGGUAGUCAUCUUUGGGCAAAAUGAAAUAAUGACCACUGUCUGUGAACCAUUUUUCUUAAAUCCAUCUUGAGAGACAGGUAUAACGUUAUCUUUAAAAAAGCUGCUUUUCGAAAAUGAGUUAUUGCAUGUGCUCUCUGUUCUUUAGAAAGUGACAGAACAUAGAUGUUUCUUGCUGAAAACCCCACGGUCAACUAGAGGGGCGGGGGAGUUAGCCUUUUGGUUUUUAUUGCAUUGGACUAGGCCCAGUUUUGUAUUUCAUGUCACAUCAUGAAUCCAUGGAGCCAUGUGACAAAUCACACUGCAUGAAAAACAUAUAUUUAGUUACAUUUUUUUCACAGAUGGGGAGUUUAAUCUUGUGUCAGGAAGUAAGGGCCCCUAAAUCUGGAAUGGCCACAUUAAGUAAAAUUUUCCUUGGUUGAAAAUAGCAUGCUUAAAAAAACAGAAAGAAAGAAAAGAAAAUAGCAUGCUAGUUGAAAUUUCUAGGAAUAUUUUUUUUAUGAGUAGCAAAAUACUUAAGAGAAAAAUCUUCUACAUAUUUUAUGCAAAUUUGUUCUGGCAGAAACAUUUAAAAAUGUUACCAUUGUUAAUUUUUUUAAGGUGUACAGCUUAUUUUGAUACAUUUAUGUACUGCAAUACUAUUGCCAUUGUAACAUUAGCUAACACCUCUAUCAUUAUAUGUUUAUUUCUUCUUUGCGAUGAGAAUAAUUAGAGUCUAGUCUCUCAGUAAAUUUGAUGUUUAUCAUACAAUCUUGUUGUUUGUAAUCACUACAAGGUGCAUAAGUUCUCUAGGUCUUAUUUGCAAGUUUGUACCUUAAAUAUCUCUCCUAAUUCUCCCCCUACUCCUGUCCUUGGUAACCACCAUUUUACUUUCUAUUUUCAUGAGUUCAGCUCUUUUAAGAUUCCAUGUAAAAGUGAUAUCAUAUUUGUCUCUUUCUGACUUAUCUUACUCAGCACAGGGUCUUCAGGGUCCAUCUGUAUUGCUGCAGUGGCAGCAUUUCCUUUGUUCUGAUGGCUGAAUAAUAAUUUCUAUGCAUUACUAUUAUUAUAGUAUUAUAAUUAUUAGUAUAAUUAAUAGUAUAAUUAUAAUUAUACUAUUAUUAUGUGUAUUAUAUGCAUUUCCAUUCUCCAUACAUCUGUUUGGGGGCACUUAGGUUGUUUCCACAUCUUGGUUAUUAUGAAUAAGGCUGCAAUAAACAUGUGAAUACACAUAUAUCUUUGAUACUUUGUUUUCAUUUUCUUUGGGUAAAUAACCAGAAGUAGAAUUACUGGGUUGUAUGGCAGUUCUGUUUUUAACUUCUUGAGAAACUUCCAUACUGUUUUCGACAGUAGCUGUACCAAUUUACAUUCCCUCAAAUGGUGCACAAGUGUUCUCUUUUCUCUAUAUCCUCACCAGCACUUUUAUUUCUAGUCUUUUUGAUAAUCGCCAUUCUAACAGGUGUGAGGUAAUGCCUCACUGUG
ensembl:lincRNA